AGUCGCUGCUGUGAACUCGCUGGAGCCCAGACUCACGCAACUAAGGGGCAGCAGUGGGAAGAGAAACGGAGGGGUGGUGGGGGAGCUGGCGCUCUGAACGCCUGUUCCUUCUGUUCAGACUAGUCUUUGUUUAUUUUGCAGCGCAGGAAGGCGGAAGGGAAGGCGGAGACCGGCAAGAGAGGGGAGAAGGCCCGGGGAAGACGCUCGGGACCAAGAUGCGGGGCCCGGGUGCGAGCAGCUGAACCUCUCGGCCCCCAGGCGUGGUGACCUGGGUGGCGACGCUCGUGGAGGCCGAGGAGCUUCUGGACCGGCGCUUCGGGGGACCAAGUGGAGAGGCUGCUGGAGUUGUCGCCUGAGUCCUCCCUUAGUUCUUCGCGCCGGCCUCGCCCACGGCUCCGGGUCCCAGCCGCCACUGCAGUCUCCGCAGCACCGAGCGGGGCUCCACCGACUCGCGACCUCCAGCCUCCGCCUCAAGGGCAGGGAGCGCGGCUGGGUCUCUGGAAAGCCAUUUUUAAAUCACUGCCUCUGCUGCCCCCAUGUGAGGUCGGAGUGUCCUCCCCCGUCUUUGCUUUCAGGUUCUUUCAGGUUCCUUUGGGCAAACCCGCAGCUAAGAGUCCAGCUUGUGAACUUGAACCUGAACUUGCUGAAGAAGCUCCCGGCGGCCCCCUGCUGUCUGCGGCCUUUGUUUGAGGGAGAGGCUGGGGUCACCCGGUUGGGCCGCAUUUCCGGGGCCGUCACCUGUCGGGCUGCCAGGCCGCGCGUACCUUGUCCCAUCGGGGGCUCUGCUCUGCCCCCUGCGCUGAUGACGCGGGUGGAAGGGAGGUAUCAGGGGCACUCUGGGGAGCUGUACCUGGCGGGCACCCCCCAGCUGCUCUCCGUGGGGUACGACACCGAGACCUGGUUGGGCUGCAAGGAGACCGACUGGGAUUCCCGGGCUGGUGGCCGGGGAGACGAAGGCGGGGGGUGAGAGGCAGGAACCCAGGAGGCCCCAGGCCCAGCGCUGUGGGGCUGCUGUUGUCGUUCUGCGUGGAGGUCUGGCCAAACUGGCUUUUGCCCCGAGUGAGGAAUUCCUGCUCUUUUUUGGUUUUGGUAAGAGGUCGCUAUUCACAGAGGGGGCGGGGUUCGUCCCCUCCAGGCGAGUACGGGGCUGGCGGGCGCAGUGCUGCCUUUCUGCUCUGUCUCUUGAUCCCGCUUAGGAUCUUUGUGGCUCCUCUGAGUCUUCUUAGAGAGGCCGUGAAAGAUGGGAAAGGCAGGUUGCUGAAACGCUGCUGCUCGGGGCUGGCAGAGACCCUGGUAUAGGGAAGGCGCACCACUGUGGGUCAGAUCAGCUGACAGUGGGGGUUUUAGGUGAUGGGGUAACCUUACAGUUCGGAUCUCUUAGAACCCAGAAGCAGGUAGGCGAUCGCUGCUUCAUCACACUUCACAGGGAGUCCUGGAUCUUUCCUGUCCGUAACCCAUGGACGCCAUGAUUCAGUAUGGCGGAGGUCCGGGGCUUAAGUUCCUGUUCAUGCUUCCUAAUCAUUCAUGGAUCCAUCACAAUGUGCUCUGAAGGGCCUCUCUUGCUGGGAUUGAGAAGGAUACAUUUUUUGAGCAGGUUUUUAUACUCAAUGGACAUGUAGAAGGGAAUAUAUUCUACUCAGUUCCCCUCCUGCAGCUCCUUGAAAUUCUGUCCAUCAAAAGCAGGGAUCUGCUGACCAGAGGUGACUGCCACAGAAGGUAUCCAGUUUGUAAAAGCUGAAUUUGUUGCUGAAGCCAGAAUUUGCAAUCUUGAUGUUUGUGUUAACAUCCAAGAGCGUGUUUUCUGCCUUUAAAUCUCUGUGGACAAUACGUUUCUGGUGACAGCUUGCACAGCAGACACUUUUGGUAGAAUUUGCUUCAGUCCUUUUUUUUUCUUUCCUGCUGCCAUGAGCAGGUAUUCACAAACUUCUCCUCCUGGCUAGUGUGCUUCAUGACAAAGCAAAGAGAUUCCUCAAUAUCGAUCACAGCAAAUGUUUCACUAUGUUGGGGUGAUCCGAGCCUUCAUGGUUCCUACUUUGUGGAUGGUGUCUGGAGGAGAUCUGCUGAGUCUCAUCAAUGAACUUCACAGCUGCUGCUUUCCCAGUUAAGAGGUCCCAGGCCAACCUUACCUUAGCCAGGUUGCCCUUGACGAUGGUCUCAAGGAUCCUAGCUGCCAGUAAGGGUCCCUUCUCAGCAGAGAUGGCUGAGAGGCCCUGUGGCAUGUGAGACUUACUGCUGGGCUUGGAGUCAAGGUGUCCCAGGUCAGCUUAAUUUCGGGAAAAACUGGUAAGACGCUUGGUUCAAAUCACUUGAAAAGAAAAUCACUUGCAUAGUUCACCUGAAGAAUGGAUCUCUAUAAUGGAAUUAAAGCACAAUGCUGGACAAAAAGUAAGAAAAAGCAACAAACUGAAAGGAAAAAUUGAGUAAAAAGAAUAAAGAACUAGAACUGGCAACCUCAGCCAAGCCAGGGAAUUACAUACAUCUUGGAAUUCCAAAGCAAUGCUUCCUUAUGAGGGCAUAGGAAGAAAUAAAUCUAAUAACAAGGCUGGGAUUAAUUCACGUGGUUUUCUCACAUUUUGGUCUCAAGAACUUUUUACUCUAAAACUAAUUAUUGAGGACCCCAAAGAGCUUUUUAUGUGGGUUAUAGUUAUCAGUAUUUACUUUAUUGGAAAUUAAAACCUGUAGGAUGUUUCAGUGGUCUUUUCUAGUUUGAAGGGUUUAAUAAUUUUUGGCUUUUAAAGAGCCCAUAAUCAAUUAAAAUAUUUUAUUUUCCUUUAAAUUGUAAAUGAUUGGUGUCAUAAUGAUGCUACAACUUAACUGGCAUUACAAUACUAUACAAAUACGUUCUAUUGUAUAAGUCACAAUAAGGUACAUUAUUAACUCUAUAACAUUUAGGGGAAGAUAGCUGUUAUCAUAUUAUUUAAAGUUUUGCCUAGUUUCUUUGUAGUAGACUUAUCUUUUCCAGGAGCCAGAGAACCCGCUAUAUCAGUUUCAGUAUCUUUAAAUGUAGAGAUUGCAGCUGUGUGUUGAGAAAGCACGUUUCACUUAGCAUGGGAUGGGGACUUCGAGGUACUGGAUAUGUCACUGGCACCUCAGGGGAGGAAACCAAGAUGCCCCUAUAUGAUUUUAAACAUGGUUUAUUAAAGCGUGAUACAGAAAAGUGCACAAAUUGUCCACCUACAGCUUGGUGACUGUUCACAAAUUGAACUCAUCUAACUAGCCUCCAGAAUAAGAAACAGGCCUUUACACACCCCCACCAGCCUCCCAAUCCCCUUUUCAGUCACCUUCUCUGCAGUGAUAACCACUAUUCUAUAUUCUGACAGCAUAGUUUCACUUGUUUUUUAACUUCACAUAAAUGGGAUCAGACAGUAUUGAAUCCUUUGUGUCUGCUUCCUUCACUCAAUAUUUUCCUGAGAUUUUUCUAUAUUGUUUAUUCUAAAUGCCCAUUGUACGACUGUAACACAAUUUGUUUAUCCAUUUUACUGUUCUUGGGCAUUUGGGUAGUUCUCACUGUGGAUGCUAAGAAGAGUGUUGCUAUAAACAUUCAGGUCUUUUGGUAAGCAUAUACCUGGCUUUCUGUUGGCUAUUUAUACCUAGAAAUAGAGUUGCUGGCUUAUAAGGUAUGCAUAUUUUUAGUUUUAGUAGACAUUGCAGUUUGUACCAAUUCACCCACCCACCAAUGUGAAUAUCUAAUAUUGCCUGCCUGUCUGUACGUGUGUACUGGUAUAGCAUUGUGGUUUUAAUUUGCAUUUUCCAGUGCCUAAUGAAAUAAAGCACCUUUUAAUAUGCUUA
rnacentral:lncRNA from 1 species